rnacentral:rRNA from 1 species
GACGAACGCUGGCGGCGUGCUUAACACAUGCAAGUCGAACGGAAAGGCCCUGCUUUUGUGGGGUGCUCGAGUGGCGAACGGGUGAGUAACACGUGAGUAACCUGCCCUUGGCUUUGGGAUAACUUCAGGAAACUGGGGCUAAUACCGGAUAGGAGCUCCUGCGGCAUGGUGGGGGUUGGAAAGUUUCGGCGGUUGGGGAUGGACUCGCGGCUUAUCAGCUUGUUGGUGGGGUAGUGGCUUACCAAGGCUUUGACGGGUAGCCGGCCUGAGAGGGUGACCGGCCACAUUGGGACUGAGAUACGGCCCAGACUCCUACGGGAGGCAGCAGUGGGGAAUAUUGCACAAUGGGCGGAAGCCUGAUGCAGCAACGCCGCGUGCGGGAUGACGGCCUUCGGGUUGUAAACCGCUUUCGCCUGUGACGAAGCGUGAGUGACGGUAAUGGGUAAAGAAGCACCGGCUAACUACGUG